UAAUACGGAGGAUGCAAGCGUUAUCCGGAUUCAUUGGGUUUAAAGGGUGCGUAGGCGGAUUAUUAAGUCAGUGGUGAAAUCCUACAGCUUAACUGUAGAACUGCCAUUGAUACUGAUAGUCUUGAAUUUGGUUAAGGUAGGCGGAAUGUGUAAUGUAGCGGUGAAAUGCUUAGAUAUUACACAGAACACCAAUUGCGUAGGCAGCUUACUGGACCGACAUUGACGCUGAGGCACGAAAGCGUGGGGAUCGAACAGG
rnacentral:rRNA from 1 species